rnacentral:rRNA from 1 species
GACGAACGCUGGCGGCGUGCUUAACACAUGCAAGUCGAACGGUAAGGCUCCAGCUUGCUGGGGUACACGAGUGGCGAACGGGUGAGUAACACGUGGGUGACCUGCCCUGCACUUCGGGAUAAGCCUGGGAAACUGGGUCUAAUACCGGAUAGGACCAUGGUGUGGAUACUGUGGUGGAAAGUUUUUUCGGUGUGGGAUGGGCCCGCGGCCUAUCAGCUUGUUGGUGGGGUAAUGGCCUACCAAGGCGGCGACGGGUAGCCGGCCUGAGAGGGUGGACGGCCACAUUGGAACUGAGACACGGCCCAGACUCCUACGGGAGGCAGCAGUGGGGAAUAUUGCACAAUGGGCGGAAGCCUGAUGCAGCGACGCCGCGUGGGGGAUGACGGCCUUCGGGUUGUAAACUCCUUUCACCAUCGACGAAGGGUUUCUGACGGUAGAUGGAGAAGAAGCACCGGCUAACUACGUG